rnacentral:rRNA from 1 species
GUGCCAGCCGCCGCGGUAACACGUAGGGGGCGAGCGUUGUCCGGAUUUAUUGGGCGUAAAGGGCUCGUAGGUGGUUCAGCAAGUCAACUGUGAAAGUCCGGGGCUCAACCCCGGGAGGCCAGUCGAAACUGCUGUGACUAGGGUCCGGUAGAGGUGAGUGGAAUUCUCGGUGUAGCGGUGAAAUGCGCAGAUAUCGAGAGGAACACCAGUAGCGAAGGCGGCUCACUGGGCCGGUACCGACACUGAGGAGCGAAAGCGUGGGGAGCAAACAGGAUUAGAAACCCGUGUAGUCC